UACGUAGGUGGCGAGCGUUGUCCGGAUUUACUGGGCGUAAAGAGCGCGCAGGCGGUCGUUCAAGUCGCGUGUGAAAGCCCCCGGCUCAACUGGGGAGGGUCACGCGAUACUGAUCGACUCGAAGGCAGGAGAGGGUAGUGGAAUUCCCGGUGUAGUGGUGAAAUGCGUAGAUAUCGGGAGGAACACCAGUGGCGAAGGCGACUACCUGGCCUGUUCGACGCUGAGGCGCGAAAGCUAGGGGAGCAAACGGG
rnacentral:rRNA from 1 species